AAAAACAACAAAAAUGUCAAAAUUAAAGUGCAGAAAAAUGGAUAAAAACAUCGACAAUAACAUCAGAAAUUUGUGACAAAACAUUUUGAAAAAAUGUAACCAAAACAAGUGAC